UACGUAGGUGGCAAGCGUUGUCCGGAUUUACUGGGCGUAAAGAGCGCGCAGGCGGUCGCUCAAGUCGCGUGUGAAAGCCCCCGGCUCAACUGGGGAGGGUCACGCGAUACUGAUCGACUCGAAGGCAGGAGAGGGUAGUGGAAUUCCCGGUGUAGUGGUGAAAUGCGUAGAGAUCCGGAGGAACACCAGUGGCGAAGGCGACACGCUGGGCCGUACCUGACACUGAUACGCGACAGCAUGGGGAGCGAACGGG
rnacentral:rRNA from 1 species